rnacentral:rRNA from 1 species
GUCUAAGUAUAAACGAUUUAAUCGUGAAACCGCGAAUGGCUCAUUAUAACAGCUAUAAUUUACUUGAUCUUGACACAAUCCUACUUGGAUAACUGUGGUAAUUCUAGAGCUAAUACAUGCAUUAAAGCUCUGACCUCACGGGAAGAGUGCAUUUAUUAGAACAAAACCAAGCGGCUUCGGCUGUUUCUGGUUGACUCAUAGUAACUGAGCUGAUCGCAUGGUCUUGCACCGGCGACGUGUCUUUCAAGUAUCUGCCGUAUCAACUUUCGAUGGUAGUGUAUCUGACUACCAUGGUGAUCACGCGUAACGGAGAAUAAGGGUUCGGCUCCGGAGAGUUCGCCUGAGAAAUCGCGAACACAUCUAAGGAAGGCAGCAGGCGCGAAAAUUACCCACUCUCAGCACGAGGAGGUAGUGACGAAAAAUAACGAGACCGUUCUCUUAUGAGGCCGGUCAUCGGAAUGGGUACAAUUUAAACCCUUUAACGAGUAUCUAUGAGAGGGCAAGUCUGGUGCCAGCAGCCGCGGUAAUUCCAGCUCUCAAAGUGCAUAGAAUUAUUGCUGCGGUUAAAAAGCUCGUAGUUGGAUCUGUGCCAUAGGACGUGGUCCACCUUCGGGUGCGUACUACGCUCCUAGGCUUUUUGCUGGUUUUCCCGUCGUAGCCUUCACUGGUUGCGGCGGGUGGCUGGCGAGUUUACUUUGAGAAAAUCAGAGUGCUCAAUACAGGCGUAUCGCUUGAAUGAUUGUGCAUGGAAUAAUAGAAAAGGAUUUCGGUCCUCUUUUAUUGGUUUUGUGGACUGAGAUAAUGGUUAACAGGGACAAACGGGGGCAUUCGUAUCUCUGCGUGAGAGGUGA